rnacentral:rRNA from 1 species
GCUGGCGGCGUGCUUAACACAUGCAAGUCGAGUGCGCGUUUCCGUAGCAAUACGGAGAUGGCGCACGGCGCACGGGUGCGUAACACGUGGGUAAUCUGCCCUCUGAUGGGGAAUAACCCGCCGAAAGGCGAGCUAAUUCCGCAUAACAUUCCUUGGACUCCGGUUCGAGGAUUCAAAGGCGUAAGUCGUCGGAGGUGGAGCCCGCGCACGAUUAGCUAGUUGGUGAGGUAAUGGCUCACCAAGGCUAUGAUCGUUAGCUGGUCUGAGAGGAUGGCCAGCCACACUGGAACUGAGACACGGUCCAGACUCCUACGGGAGGCAGCAGUGGGGAAUCUUGCACAAUGGGCGAAAGCCUGAUGCAGCGACGCCGCGUGGGGGAUGAAGCUUCUCGGAGUGUAAACCCCUUUCGACCGGGACGAAUACCUCGCAAGAGGGGUGACGGUACCGGUAUAAGAAGCCCCGGC